UCUUUUCAUUGCAUUAGAGGACACUGCAACAAAUGAAUAGUUAAGUAAAAUUAUUGCAGCUACUCAUUAAUGGAUAGUUACCUAAUCCAAUUUAAUCUGUGUUUGGUAGUUAACUUGGCCACACUCUUGAAAUGUUCUCAGCUAAGGGACUGUAGUUCCCUUACAAAUUCAGAAAGUACUUGUUUUACUUAAAUCUGGACAUUUUCACUAACUCUUGUCUUCCUUUAGUCAACAAUG